GUAGACAUAGGCUUGGUUACUUGCUCAAAAUGCAUGAUUUUGACGAAUUACCACAACAAUACAUCUUGAAAAGGUGGACUAAGAAGGCAAACUCCGUGAUAGUGGUCGAUAAUGAAAGUGGCAUAAUGAUAAAUAGUGACAAAGAAUAUCUAAUCGAGCGGAGUGAAUUAAUUCAAUGUUCUUUGGAUGUUAUUAAUAACACCCUCACAAGCCAAG
rnacentral:lncRNA from 1 species